AGAGUUUGAUCAUGGCUCAGAGCGAACGCUGGCGGCAGGCCUAACACAUGCAAGUCGAGCGCGUGUAGCAAUACACGAGCGGCAGACGGGAGAGUAACACGUGGGAACGCGCCCUUCGGUCCGGAAUAACCCAGGGAAACUUGGGCUAAUACCGGGUACGCCCUUACGGGGAAAGAUUUAUUGCCGAAGGAACGGCCCGCGUCUGAUUAGCUAGUUGGUGAGGUAAUGGCUCACCAAGGCGACGAUCAGUAGCUGGUCUGAGAGGAUGACCAGCCUCACUGGGACUGAGACACGGCCCAGACUCCUACGGGAGGCAGCAGUGGGGAAUAUUGGACAAUGGGCGCAAGCCUGAUCCAGCCAUGCCGCGUGGAUGAUGAAGGCCCUAGGGUUGUAAAGUCCUUUUAACGGGGAAGAUAAUGACGGUACCCGUAGAAUAAGCCCCGGCUAACUUCGUGCCAGCCGCCGCGGUAAUUC
rnacentral:rRNA from 1 species